CCUACGGGUGACAGCAGUGAGGAAUAUUGGUCAAUGGACGCAAGUCUGAACCAGCCAUGCCGCGUGCAGGAAGACGGUGCGAAGAGUUGUAAACUGCUUUUGUAAGAGGGUAAAAGCAGAUACGUGUGUCUGUCUGAAAGUAUUGUAAGAAUAAGCAUCGGCUAACUCCGUGCCAGCAGCCGCGGUAAUACGGAGGAUUCAAGCGUUAUCCGGAUUUAUUGGGUUUAAAGGGUGCGUAGGCGGUCGGAUAAGUUAGAGGUGAAAUCCCGGGGCUCAACUUCGGAAUUGCCUCUGAUACUGUUCGUCUAGAGAGUAGUUGAGGUAGGCGGAAUGUAUGGUGUAGCGGUGAAAUGCUUAGAGAUCAUACAGAACACCGAUUGCGAAGGCAGCUUACCAAGCUCCUUCUGACGUUGAGGCACGAAAGCGUGGGUAGCAAACAGGAUUAGAUACCCGGGUAGUC
rnacentral:rRNA from 1 species